rnacentral:sRNA from 12 species
UUGAAGCCGAGGGGCCUAGUGGAAACGUCAGGUGACGUCACACGGAAACGGUAACUAGUGAGCCCGCUCUACAACCUUGUCUGAUGACGGUGUAGUGAAAUACUAGGUCAUGCGAAUGGCCAAUCAGAUAGUAGCAAG